UACGUAGGUGGCAAGCGUUGUCCGGAUUUACUGGGCGUAAAGAGCGCGCAGGCGGUCGUUCAAGUCGCGUGUGAAAGCCCCCGGCUCAACUGGGGAGGGUCACGCGAUACUGCUCGACUCGAAGGCAGGAGAGGGAAGUGGAAUUCCCGGUGUAGUGGUGAAAUGCGUAGAUAUCGGGAGGAACACCAGUGGCGAAGGCGACUACCUGGCCCACUCUUGACGCUGAGGCGCGAAAGCUAGGGGAGCGAACGGG
rnacentral:rRNA from 1 species